GGGGAAUAUUGGACAAUGGGCGCAAGCCUGAUCCAGCCAUGCCGCGUGUGUGAAGAAGGCCUUAUGGUUGUAAAGCACUUUAAGCGAGGAGGAGGCUACUGAAGUUAAUACCUUCAGAUAGUGGACGUUACUCGCAGAAUAAGCACCGGCUAACUCUGUGCCAGCAGCCGCGGUAAUACAGAGGGUGCAAGCGUUAAUCGGAUUUACUGGGCGUAAAGCGCGCGUAGGCGGCUAAUUAAGUCAAAUGUGAAAUCCCCGAGCUUAACUUGGGAAUUGCAUUCGAUACUGGUUAGCUAGAGUGUGGGAGAGGAUGGUAGAAUUCCAGGUGUAGCGGUGAAAUGCGUAGAGAUCUGGAGGAAUACCGAUGGCGAAGGCAGCCAUCUGGCCUAACACUGACGCUGAGGUGCGAAAGCAUGGGGAGCAAAC
rnacentral:rRNA from 1 species